GGGACGAACGCUGGCGGCGUGCUUAACACAUGCAAGUCGAACGGAAAGGCCCGCUUGCGGGUACUCGAGUGGCGAACGGGUGAGUAACACGUGGGCAACCUGCCCUCAGCUUCGGGAUAACACUUGGAAACAGGUGCUAAUACCGGAUAAUAACCUUUCAUCGCAUGGUGGUUGGUUCAAAGUUUUUCGGCUGAGGAUGGGCCCGCGGCCUAUCAGCUUGUUGGUGGGGUAAUGGCCUACCAAGGCGACGACGGGUA
rnacentral:rRNA from 1 species